AACAAAAGAAGACCCAAAGCAGAGAAGCCAGCUGCCCUGUAGCUGCCAAUUUCCUCUCAAAAAACCUGCCAAAGCAUUUCAGAGCCUGGCCCAUUCUAGCCCAUAGCUGAGCCCAGAGGGAGUUGGUUCUUGGUUUAAAUGAUGGCAAAGUGGGAAACAGCUCUGACAGACAAACAUGACAACCUGCCCCAUCUGGAUCAGCACUUCUCACAGGCAUUUUAGUCACCGUAACCAUCUCUUUCCACAUCCUGAAGGAGCCAACUCAAAGACAGCAGAGAGGCCUUGCAAAACAGAGCUGAGAUGCAGUUUGAGUGAACUCAUUUUCAUCUGCCUCUGAACUGCAGCCACUACCUACUCCAGACUUUUCCGAGAGUAACAGUCUAUGAAGAGAGAAGGAAUGCCAGGAGGCUUAAGGAAUUGGGAAAGAAAGGUUGGGGAUUCUUGAAAGAACUUCAGUUCAGAAUUGCUUCCAAGCUCUGCCUAGCUCUGGUAAUGUUUUCCUUAUUUGCCUGUGGAAGUGAGAAAAGCUGAAGGCAGAUUUCCUGUCCUAAGGAAGCUAGCUCCAAGACACAGACUUUUCUGCUCAGACAUCAGCUAAAAUUAAACUGUACAUGUUACAGCAUGGAUGAACUUUGAAAAUAUUAUGCUCAGGGAAAGAAGUCAGACACAGAAGGCCACAUUGUGUGAUUCCAUCUAUCUGGAAUGUCGAGAAUAGGCAAAUCCACAGACAGAAGAUAGAUGAGGGGUUAGCAGGGAGCUGGGGGAUGAGGGUAAUGAUGAGUGACCACUAAUGAGUACAGUUUCUUCGGGGGGUAAUGAAAAUAUUCUGGAACUAGACAGUAAUGACAGUUGGUGAGUAUGCCCCAAACCACUGAAUUGUACACUUUAAAUGGUACCACUUUAUAGUAUGAGAAUUAUAUUGUAAUAUUUUUUAAGGGGGGGGGGGGACCAAACUGCAGUCAGUACCUUGACCUCAGAGAGGAGGCUCCUGCUCUUUAGAGCAGUGGUCCUUCAAACACGGUCCCCAGACCAACAGGAUCAGCAUCACUGAGAAAUUACCAGAAAUGCAAAUACGCAGGCUCCAUCCCAGACCACACAAUUAGAUGGGGCCCUAUAACCUAUGCUUUGAGAAGCCCUCCGGGUGAACAUCAUGUAUGUUCUCAAGAACCAUUACUUUUCUCCUCUUUUUCUUUUUCAUGACCUUUUAAAAAUGUAAAAACCAUUCAGUUCCCAGGCACACCAAAACAGAUAAUAGGAGUUCCCACUGUGGUUCAGCAGAAAUGAACCUGACUAGUGUCCAUGAUGUGGGUUCAAUCCCUGGCCCGGCUUAGUGGGUUGAGGAUCCAGUGCUGCCAUGAGCUAUGGUGUAAGCCAGAACUGGCGUUGCUGUGCCUGUGGCGUAGGCCAGCAGCUGUAGCUCCGAUACUUAGACCCCCAGCCUGGAAACUUCCAUGUGCCGCACCUUCGGCCCUACAAUAAAUAAAUAAAUAAAUUUAAAAAACAGAUAACAGGGAGUUCCUGUCGUGGUGCAGUGGUUAACGAAUCCGACUAGGAACCAUCAGGUUGCGGGUCCGAUCCCUGCCCUUGCUCAGUGGGUUACGGAUCUGGUGUUGCCGUGAGCUGUGGUGUAGGUUGCAGACGCAGCUCGGAUCCCACAUUGCUGUGGCUCUGGCGGAGGCUGGCGGCUACAGCUCCAAUUCGACCCCUAGCCUGGGAACCUCCAUAUGCCGUGGGAGAGGCCCAAGAAAUGGC
rnacentral:lncRNA from 1 species